GGGAGUAGCUCAGUUGGCUAGAGCAUCAGCCUUCCAAGCUGAGGGUCG
rnacentral:tRNA from 1 species